CACGACGACAAGCUGCUGCGUCAUUACAGUUCAGCAGACCGCGGCAUGAGGAUGUGGCUAGCUCUGCUCUGUGCUACUACUCUUUUUAUCGAUCCAUCUUCUGGUGGGGAGAGCAUGGAAUAUUCCAUAAGCCAACAUGGUUAUCCUGAACAUAGUGUCGACACACCCAUUAGAUGUCCAGACGGGUAUACCGAUGUCAAUGGAAAAUGCUUGAAGAAAAUCGAGUUAACGAAGGAUGGAAGGAGAUAAACGGAUGAGUACCAUGACAACAACAAAGAAUGGUGCAACAAAAGACAAAUUUUAUCUAAAAAGAUAUAAUAUGUAAGUUUUGUAACAGAAUGUUUUGACAAAAGAAUAUUAAAUCAAACUGGAUAGUUAAA